UACGUAGGUGGCAAGCGUUGUCCGGAUCUAUUGGGUUUAAAGGGUGCGUAGGCGGCUGUUUAAGUCAGUGGUGAAAGCCGAUCGCUUAACGAUCGAACUGCCAUUGAUACUGAAUAGCUUGAGUACAGAUGAGGUAGGCGGAAUUGACAGUGUAGCGGUGAAAUGCAUAGAUAUUGUCAAGAACACCGAUUGCGAAGGCAGCUUACUAAAGUGUCACUGACGCUGAGGCACGAAAGUGCGGGGAUCAAACAGG
rnacentral:rRNA from 1 species